rnacentral:rRNA from 1 species
AUUGAACGCUAGCGGGAUGCCUUACACAUGCAAGUCGAACGGCAGCGCGGACUUCGGUCUGGCGGCGAGUGGCGAACGGGUGAGUAAUGUAUCGGAACGUGCCCAGUAGCGGGGGAUAACUACUCGAAAGAGUAGCUAAUACCGCAUACGCCCUACGGGGGAAAGGGGGGGAUCGCAAGACCUCUCACUAUUGGAGCGGCCGAUAUCGGAUUAGCUAGUUGGUGAGGUAAAGGCUCACCAAGGCGACGAUCCGUAGCUGGUUUGAGAGGACGACCAGCCACACUGGGGCUGAGACACGGCCCAGACUCCUACGGGAGGCAGCAGUGGGGAAUUUUGGACAAUGGGGGCAACCCUGAUCCAGCCAUUCCGCGUGUGCGAUGAAGGCCUUCGGGUUGUAAAGCACUUUUGGCAGGAAAGAAAUCGCACGGAUUAAUACUCUGUGUGGAUGACGGUACCUGCAGAAUAAGCACCGGCUAACUACGUGCCAGCCGCCGCCGUAA